AAUCGAAAUCGGUAGACGCUACGGACUUAAAAUCCGUUGGCUUUAAAGACCGUGAGGGUUCAAGUCCCUCUACCCCCA
rnacentral:tRNA from 1 species